GACGUAGGGCGCAAGCGUUGUCCGGAUUUAUUGGGCGUAAAGAGCUCGUAGGCGGCCUGUCGCGUCGACCGUGAAAACCCGCAGCUCAACUGCGGGCUUGCGGUCGAUACGGGCAGGCUGGAGUUCGGUAGGGGAGACUGGAAUUCCUGGUGUAGCGGUGAAAUGCGCAGAUAUCAGGAGGAACACCAGUGGCGAAGGCGGGUCUCUGGGCCGAUACUGACGCUGAGGAGCGAAAGCGUGGGGAGCGAACAGG
rnacentral:rRNA from 1 species